UACCAAGAGAAAUAUCAAGAAUUACUUGAAAGAGAGGACUUUUUUCCAGAUUAUGAAGAAAAUGGAACAGAUUUAUCAGGGGCUGGUGAUCCAUACUUGGAUGAUAUUGAUGAUGAGAUGGACCCAGAGA